rnacentral:lncRNA from 1 species
ACUCUACUUUAUUCAGGCAAAAUGCCAAAGAAAUUAUUAUUAAUUGCGGACAAAACUAAAAUAGUUUAUGAACAUUAACAAAAACUUUACAAAUUCAUUAUUCUGUCUAUUUCUCUUGAGAAUCUUGCACGUUGUCAGACUCACGCCAGACUCUGUUCUUAGAUUUAUUUCUGUCCCGCCUUGAGUCCACAGGUUCUUUAUACAAAUUUUUUUUUCUUUAGACAACAACUGAAUUCUAACAUGCUGGUUUAGACUCCUUUGGGAGCUUAUAGGAUCUGAAAGGUGUUCAUAAUGGGUGGGGAGAACCGGAGUGCUCAUCCAGUGGUUUGCAGCUGCUUGUGACUUCAUUUGCAUAGCACCAACAGUUGAUCAUAGUCAACCAGAGAUGCCAUCUCUGCAUGCCAGUUAAUUUACAGCAUUGUUGAGAAGUAGUGGCCCAAACAACUCAUCAGGAAACCGCUCCCCCUCCCAUUUGUUCUUUCACCAGACCUGAAAAAGUGCUGUUGAUCUUUCAGAAAUGACAAAGCAGGGAGCUGUAAAAGGUGAGGCUAGAGCUGCUUUGUCGAGUUAUUGUGCCGCUAGCCUUUAAUUUAUCGUCAUGCAUGGAAGGAAGGGCCUUCUGAUGGAUAAGUCUUUCUUUUGCAAUAGAACAUGAACAAAUAGAGGCUGUUCUGUUGUCUCUCCUCUCCUUUCUCUCUGUGACUAUCCUCAGUUUCCCAUGAGCAAGGAUUUAAUAUUAUUCUUCUAAAAUCCCACUUUGCUUUAGUAUCUGAAGAGCCCAUGAAUAUGGCUUCUGCAUCCACCAAUCCUCUAUCACACAAGGCUGGCUGGGACUGAGGACCAUCAUUGGCCACUCCUGCUCUGGCUUUCUAGUAUAAUUCAGGUAAACCCUUGUCUAUGCUGAAAACACAAUUAAGUUCUCAGUAAGCAGAGGGAGAAACAGACAGGGCAUUCAAUAUCUUUAUUGACUCUGAAUGCUUCUGCCAUCUUAAGUAAAUUAAUUUCUUCUGAUGAUUCACCAAGUACCUGGCCAUGUACCAGCUGCUCUGUGGCACACUGACAAUCUAAGAGGACCAGAAUAUGAGUCUUUCAAGGUUAUUCUGAGUUAUCUCUCCUUCUACCCCAUUCUUACCUUUGGUCAACAUAUUCCUCAUGUCCUAUACUGCCCUCAUUUCCCGUCCCUCUCACAUUCCCAGGGUACAGCACAGAUAGGAGACACUGUCUGGCAAGGCACAACAAGCUUUCUGAGUAAGCCUUUAGGAUGGGGAGCCCAAGCAGUCAGGCAGGCAGCAACAGACUAAUCAUUCCCUCUGUUGGUGGGUGAUGGUCACUCUCACCUCCUCUAUAUAGAUAGAUGACCUCCUGGGGCUGAGUUACAGCCACUGAUUUCUGAGAGGCAGUGACCUGUGGCAGUGUGCACUGAGCCAAGUUGAUAUGUCUAUGCUCAUGACAUCUAGCUUCUAUUACUGUGCUCUGGUGGCCCUAGAGCAGUCUAGCUGCAAUAGGUCAACAUUAACAUCCUUGAGCGUUGACUUGAAAUUGGGUUGUAGACUGUGGUUAAUGGUGGAUACAAGGCCAGAGAGGAGGUGUCUGGAGUCUAGUUUGGGAGUCACUGGAGGAUACACAUGUGGCUCUGAUGGAAAAAAAUCCUCCUAUCUUAAACUCUGCGGUCACCUUAGGUACCAAGGGGGAGGGUCUGAAGAGCCCUAGGAGGCUACAGUGAGCAGCUUGCAGCUUCAAAUAGUGAGGAAGUAUGGUGUAGAAAGCUGAAGCCAGAAAUUGCCACACAGUAUUAAGUUUAUGACAUAAAAGCAGCCCCGAUUCCUUCUUAAUUAUGACUAGAACAGGAGCUACACUAGCCAGUCUGUCUGGGAUUCUUUGAUUUGUUUUGCAUUUUCUUCUCCUGUUUCAACUGCUUUCAACACCCUUUUAUUCUGUUCCUGGGGGGUGGUGGGGUGGAGUUCACCAGGAUAGCAAUGUCAAGAGCAAGCCUAGGAGAGAUUCUGGAACUGCCCUUCGCGGUGCCCUUUGCAUCAGGUGGGGCUGGAAUCUACCGUUGUGCCCACGUCCAAUGAAUUUU